rnacentral:rRNA from 1 species
AAAUUGAAGAGUUUGAUCAUGGCUCAGAUUGAACGCUGGCGGCAGGCCUAACACAUGCAAGUCGAACGGUAACAGAAAGCAGCUUGCUGCUUUGCUGACGAGUGGCGGACGGGUGAGUAAUGUCUGGGAAACUGCCCGAUGGAGGGGGGUAACUACUGGAAACGGUAGCUAAUACCGCAUAACGUCGCAAGACCAAAGAGGGGGACCUU